rnacentral:rRNA from 1 species
GAUGAACGCUGACAGAAUGCUUAACACAUGCAAGUCUACUUGAACUUCGGUUUGGGUGGCGGACGGGUGAGUAACGCGUAAAGAACUUGCCUCACAGUUAGGGACAACAUUUGGAAACGAAUGCUAAUACCUGAUAUUAUGAUUUUAGGGCAUCCUAGGAUUAUGAAAGCUAUAUGUGCUGUGAGAGAGCUUUGCGUCCCAUUAGCUAGUUGGAGAGGUAACGGCUCACCAAGGCGAUGAUGGGUAGCCGGCCUGAGAGGGUGAACGGCCACAAGGGGACUGAGACACGGCCCUUACUCCUACGGGAGGCAGCAGUGGGGAAUAUUGGACAAUGGACCAAAAGUCUGAUCCAGCAAUUCUGUGUGCACGAUGACGUUUUUCGGAAUGUAAAGUGCUUUCAGUUGGGAAGAAAAAAUGACGGUACCAACAGAAGAAGUGACGGCUAAAUACGUG